UCUGUUCUGUUGUGUUAUGUUAUGUUCUAUUAUAUUCUGUUGUGUUUUUCUAUUCUACUUUGUUGUGUUACUUUUUGUUCUUUUGUAUUCUAUUCUCUUGUUUUAUGUUAUGUUGCUUUCCAUUCUAUUCUGUUCUAUUCUGUUCUAUGAGUUUGAGUCUACAAGAUUUUGCUCAGCUUUAUAGCAGUGGCAAUAUUUAUACAAUUACAUCAUAUAAUCAAGUUACAACAGCUGUAAUUACCGUCAACGUGUGGAAGAAGUCAAAUUAUUUACUAAAGUUAAAGGAGCAAUACCAAAAUGUAUAUAAUGUGCCAUCACUAGGUCAUAUUAACCUCAGAUAAACUUAAGAAUAUAUCUUGCACCAAAGACUGUCUCCCAUCACUUACAUUGAAGAAGGAAUCUCUUAAUGACCAGUAUUAACGGGAGGAAUGAUUACAGCGAGCAAAACCUGUUUCAAAGUUCAUAUGGUUACCGGACUAUUAUUCUAAGACAGAUUUGAAAAAUUAAAAUGAUU